GAUGAACGCUGGCGGCGUGCCUAAUACAUGCAAGUCGAGCGAACGGACGAGAAGCUUGCUUCUCUGAUGUUAGCGGCGGACGGGUGAGUAACACGUGGAUAACCUACCUAUAAGACUGGGAUAACUUCGGGAAACCGGAGCUAAUACCGGAUAAUAUUUUGAACCGCAUGGUUCAAAAGUGAAAGACGGUCUUGCUGUCACUUAUAGAUGGAUCCGCGCUGCAUUAGCUAGUUGGUAAGGUAACGGCUUACCAAGGCAACGAUGCAUAGCCGACCUGAGAGGGUGAUCGGCCACACUGGAACUGAGACACGGUCCAGACUCCUACGGGAGGCAGCAGUAGGGAAUCUUCCGCAAUGGGCGAAAGCCUGACGGAGCAACGCCGCGUGAGUGAUGAAGGUCUUCGGAUCGUAAAACUCUGUUAUUAGGGAAGAACAUAUGUGUAAGUAACUGUGCACAUCUUGACGGUACCUAAUCAGAAAGCCACGGCUAACUACGUGCCAGCAGCCGCGGUAAUACGUAGGUGGCAAGCGUUAUCCGGAAUUAUUGGGCGUAAAGCGCGCGUAGGCGGUUUUUUAAGUCUGAUGUGAAAGCCCACGGCUCAACCGUGGAGGGUCAUUGGAAACUGGAAAACUUGAGUGCAGAAGAGGAAAGUGGAAUUCCAUAUGUAGCGGUGAAAUGCGCAGAGAUAUGGAGGAACACCAGUGGCGAAGGCGACUUUCUGGUCUGUAACUGACGCUGAUGUGCGAAAGCGUGGGGAUCAAACAGGAUUAGAUACCUUGGUAGUCCACGCCGUAAACGAUGAGUGCUAAGUGUUAGGGGGUUUCCGCCCCUUAGUGCUGCAGCUAACGCAUUAAGCACUCCGCCUGGGGAGUACGACCGCAAGGUUGAAACUCAAAGGAAUUGACGGGGACCCGCACAAGCGGUGGAGCAUGUGGUUUAAUUCGAAGCAACGCGAAGAACCUUACCAAAUCUUGACAUCCUUUGACAACUCUAGAGAUAGAGCCUUCCCCUUCGGGGGACAAAGUGACAGGUGGUGCAUGGUUGUCGUCAGCUCGUGUCGUGAGAUGUUGGGUUAAGUCCCGCAACGAGCGCAACCCUUAAGCUUAGUUGCCAUCAUUAAGUUGGGCACUCUAAGUUGACUGCCGGUGACAAACCGGAGGAAGGUGGGGAUGACGUCAAAUCAUCAUGCCCCUUAUGAUUUGGGCUACACACGUGCUACAAUGGAUAAUACAAAGGGCAGCGAAACCGCGAGGUCAAGCAAAUCCCAUAAAGUUGUUCUCAGUUCGGAUUGUAGUCUGCAACUCGACUACAUGAAGCUGGAAUCGCUAGUAAUCGUAGAUCAGCAUGCUACGGUGAAUACGUUCCCGGGUCU
rnacentral:rRNA from 1 species